rnacentral:rRNA from 1 species
GACGAACGCUGGCGGCGUGCUUAACAUAUGCGAGUCGAACGGAAAGGCCCUGCUUUUGUGGGGUGCUCGAGUGGCGAACGGGUGAGUAACACGUGAGUAACCUGCCCUUGACUUUGGGAUAACUUCAGGAAACUGGGGCUAAUACCGGAUAGGAGCUCCUGCUGCAUGGUGGGGGUUGGAAAGUUUCGGCGGUUGGGGAUGGACUCGCGGCUUAUCAGCUUGUUGGUGGGGUAGUGGCUUACCAAGGCUUUGACGGGUAGCCGGCCUGAGAGGGUGACCGGCCACAUUGGGACUGAGAUACGGCCCAGACUCCUACGGGAGGCAGCAGUGGGGAAUAUUGCACAAUGGGCGGAAGCCUGAUGCAGCAACGCCGCGUGCGGGAUGACGGCCUUCGGGUUGUAAACCGCUUUCGCCUGUGACGAAGCGUGAGUGACGGUAAUGGGUAAAGAAGCACCGGCUAACUACGUG